rnacentral:rRNA from 1 species
AGAGUUUGAUCCUGGCUCAGGAUGAACGCUGGCGGCGUGCUUAACACAUGCAAGUCGAACGAUCCUUCGGGAUAGUGGCGGACGGGUGAGUAACGCGUGGGAAUCUGCCCUCAGGAGGGGGAUAACGGCUGGAAACGGCCGCUAAUACCCCAUAUGCCGAGAGGUGAAACGAAUUUCGCCUGAGGAUGAGCCCGCGUCUGAUUAGCUAGUUGGUGGGGUAAAGGCCCACCAAGGCGACGAUCAGUAGCUGGUCUGAGAGGAUGAUCAGCCACACUGGGACUGAGACACGGCCCAGACUCCUACGGGAGGCAGCAGUGGGGAAUUUUCCGCAAUGGGCGAAAGCCUGACGGAGCAACGCCGCGUGAGGGAUGAAGGCCUCUGGGCUGUAAACCUCUUUUCUCAAGGAAGAAGACCUGACGGUACUUGAGGAAUAAGCCACGGCUAAUUCCGUGCCAGCAGCCGCGGUAAUACGGGAGUGGCAAGCGUUAUCCGGAAUUAUUGGGCGUAAAGCGUCCGCAGGCGGCCUUGUAAGUCUGUUGUUAAAGCGUGGAGCUUAACUCCAUUUAAGCAAUGGAAACUACAAGGCUGGAGUGUGGUAGGGGCAGAGGGAAUUCCCGGUGUAGCGGUGAAAUGCGUGGAUAUCGGGAAGAACACCAGUGGCGAAGGCGCUCUGCUGGGCCAUAACUGACGCUCAUGGACGAAAGCCAGGGGAGCGAAAGGGAUUAGAUACCCCUGUAGUCCUGGCCGUAAACGAUGAACACUAGGUGUCGGGGGAAUCGACCCCCUCGGUGUCGUAGCCAACGCGUUAAGUGUUCCGCCUGGGGAGUACGCACGCAAGUGUGAAACUCAAAGGAAUUGACGGGGGCCCGCACAAGCGGUGGAGUAUGUGGUUUAAUUCGAUGCAACGCGAAGAACCUUACCAGGGUUUGACAUCCUGCGAACCCCUGAGAAAUCGGGGGGUGCCUUCGGGAGCGCAGAGACAGGUGGUGCAUGGCUGUCGUCAGCUCGUGUCGUGAGAUGUUGGGUUAAGUCCCGCAACGAGCGCAACCCACGUCUUUAGUUGCCAGCAUUCAGUUGGGCACUCUAGAGAGACCGCCGGUGAUAAACCGGAGGAAGGUGUGGAUGACGUCAAGUCAUCAUGCCCCUUACAUCCUGGGCUACACACGUACUACAAUGCUACGGACAAAGGGCAGCAAGCUCGCGAGAGUUAGCAAAUCCCAUAAACCGUGGCUCAGUUCAGAUCGUAGGCUGCAACUCGCCUACGUGAAGGAGGAAUCGCUAGUAAUCGCAGGUCAGCAUACUGCAGUGAAUACGUUCCCGGGCCUUGUACACACCGCCCGUCACACCAUGGAAGUUGGCCAUGCCCGAAGUCGUUACUCCAACCCUUGUGGAGGAGGACGCCGAAGGUGGGGCUGAUGACUGGGGUGAAGUCGUAACAAGGUA